ACGCCGCGUGAGUGAAGAAGGUUUUCGGAUCGUAAAGCUCUGUUGUAAGUCAAGAACGUGUGUGAGAGUGGAAAGUUCACACAGUGACGGUAGCUUACCAGAAAGGGACGGCUAACUACGUGCCAGCAGCCGCGGUAAUACGUAGGUCCCGAGCGUUGUCCGGAUUUAUUGGGCGUAAAGGGAGCGCAGGCGGUCAGGAAAGUCUGGAGUAAAAGGCUAUGGCUCAACCAUAGUGUGCUCUGGAAACUGUCUGACUUGAGUGCAGAAGGGGAGAGUGGAAUUCCAUGUGUAGCGGUGAAAUGCGUAGAUAUAUGGAGGAACACCAGUGGCGAAAGCGGCUCUCUGGUCUGUCACUGACGCUGAGGCUCGAAAGCGUGGGUAGCGAACAGGAUUAGAUACCCUGGUAGUCCACGCCGUAAACGAUGAGUGCUAGGUGUUGGGCCCUUUCCGGGGCUUAGUGCCGGAGCUAACGCAAUAAGCACUCCGCCUGGGGAGUACGACCGCAAGGUUGAAACUCAAAGGAAUUGACGGGGGCCCGCACAA
rnacentral:rRNA from 1 species